CUAGUCUUGACAGAUCGAAUCGAUGUCUCUGCCGAAGAUGAUCUUCGCAAUCUGUCACACGAGAUGUAGAAACUGCCUGCAAAGGCUAGCAAUAUUCCAUUUUUAGCAAUCACGUCGAAAUUUGAAAAUGAAUAUUAUCGCCAAACAUCGUGAUAUAAGCCCAAAUUGUGACUAUUGCAUCUGGAUUGCACAGAUAACCUAUCAUAAUUCGACGCCAACGUACUCAAUGGGUAAAAUUUAGAGACCGGAACGGUUAUCUCCAUGUUCUACUAUUCUACAAUCUUUGGCCUCAGAUAAAUACACGAACUGCAUAAGCCCUUUACGUUCCGUAGUAUCCAGUAUCACCAUUACUGGUUGCCAUUCGUUGCAAAAGAUCCCCAAAUUAAGCUUUCGCCCCUCGAUUCUUUCGAUAUAUAUGCGUUCCAAAACAGAGGAUGAGGACAGCUACGAAGAACAUUGACAUGACAUGGCGAACAUAAUCAUAUACGGUGGCAUUACAACUGAUAUCAACCAUCUCCUGCCCAUCAUCAGUCAUUGCCUAAUGGAGCUACCGACAACGUCCUUCACAAUAACAACCACAGCACCACAAGAACUAAUGUAGACCAACUACUCGUACAAAUAGCAGAUAAUGCGCUGAGCGUUUUUACAUAGAUUAAUCUACGCGAUGGGUUCGGUUGGGGUCGCAAUAAUGCAAAUGAAUGGAUGCAAGCUGAUUUCGUCUGUACUAUUUUUAUCACACUGAUCAUUGAGGUGCACAUUUUUGUUGCACAGAGUGUUGAUUAUGAUACGCAUGCAGCGCCAACCGAAAACUGUAUCGAGAGCUUUCGCAGUGCUAUCAGAAGGUCACUCUUCUCACUGGAGUGUCCAACGUGCUGGACCUUUUGGAAGCUAUGUGUACGUGUACGUCUGGUUUAUCAAACUGGAAGUGUCCGAGAACAUCGAUGCCCGAUACGAGUACAGAUACUUUUAGAAGCGAUCGAAGUGCGGCAGAUCCGCAUCCAGCAUCAUCCUAAUAAAAUAGUAUUGUAUGCCUAUAGUA